GCUGGGCGUGGUGGCACAGGCCUUUAAUCCCAGCACCUCAGGAGGCUGAGGCAGGAGGAUUGUGAGUUGAAAGACGGCCUCAGGAACUUAGUGAGGCCCUAAGCAAAACAGCAAGACCCUGUCUCUA
rnacentral:sRNA from 1 species